UCAAUAUCCAAUAGUGGGACCUGGAUGCCCAUAUUGGAUCCUACAUAUUCUACGAAGAUCUUAUCAUUUGAACCUCAGUGCCAAGGAUUCAUAUAAUCCUGUAUGUCAUUCCCUUUGUCCUUCGGUAUGUUACUUGCCCGAGAUUCGAUCGUCAGUAUCCGCAUACCUGUUUCAAUCUCGUUUGUCGGCAAGUCUCUUUACUCGUUCCGUAAUACAAGAUCCCGCAACUUACACUAAGUCAC
rnacentral:lncRNA from 1 species